rnacentral:lncRNA from 1 species
AUGAAUAUUUGAAUUAUAUAGAUAUGGCAAAAGCUGUUGCUAAGUCUGCCAGUAGGGCAUUAGGUUUGUUAAUUGCCAAAAGUAAAGCUAAUGGUGGUUUUGAGUUUUCAAUUUUUACAAAACUUUUUGAUACACUGGUUAUGUCAGUUAUUGAAUAUGGUGCCUCAAUAUGGGGAGCUAGGGAAUUUACAUGUAUUAAUGCAAUUAAAAAUAGAGCCAUGAGAUUUUUUAUGGGUGUUGGAAAAUAUACCCCAAAUUUAUCAUUAUAUGGAGAUACGGGCUGGAUGCCAUGUAUAAUUAAACAAUGGUCAUGUAUUUUUAGAAAUUGGUCAAGAUUUUUGAAAAUGAAUGAUACCAGACUUAAUAAAAAAGUGUUUUUAUGGGC